AUUGUAGGCUGAAACUCGCCUACAUGAAGCUGGAGUUGCUAGUAAUCGCGAAUCAGCAUGUCGCGGUGAAUACGUUCCCGGGCCUUGUACACACCGCCCGUCACACCAUGAGAGUUGGCAAUACCCAACGUACGUGAUCUAACCCGCAAGGGAGGAAGCGUCCUAAGGUAGGGUCAGCGAUUGGGGUGAAGUCGUAACAAGGUAUC
rnacentral:rRNA from 1 species